GUUAGUGCUGAUUUUCAUUUGCAUACAUUUUCAUAUAUUUUGGUGAAAAUAAUAGACUAGUGGAGAGCUGGGCUCGGAGGAGUCAGUGUGAAGGGAAGGCUAAGGAUGCAUCGUUCUGGGGAGUUGAGAAUAUGCGUUCACCGCCUCCCGUCACUUGAUUGAAAAAAAAAAUCUCUUAUUUUAAAAUCUAACCCCAGAAGUUUGUUGGACCAUCAUGGAGACCAGAAAACGAGGCGAGGAAACUGACAACUCAAAGAAGAUGCCUGACUUUCCCCAGGCCCUGUGGCACGCGGCAGAACUGGGGUGCUUCUGAGGCGGCAGGCUGGUCUCGCCCCUGGAGGUGAUGGGUUUCUCUCACAGAAAACAGCGGCGAGGGUAUUGAAAGAUGGUCUUCAAGCUCCUGGGACAGAAGGUCAUGGAGCUCCACCCGAUAGCUCAGUGCAUCGCGUGGAGUGGAUGCGCCACUGUCCCCGGAGUUGGAUGUCAGUAGCUACGGAGCCCGGCGUGGCAUUUACCACUUUCAGAGCUGGCAGCCUCGCCGAGGAGACGGGACAAGUACUCAGGAAGCAAUCCCUGUAGCUGCUAAACUGGGAUUGUGCUGAGGACACCAAAGAGGCCUGCCCUCUGGCUCCUCCCUUCAGAUUGGAGCCGCGGGUACUCCGCUCACCUGCUUUGUGCACAGAGAGUGAAGAGCUGAAUGGGAACAUUUAGAUGCAAAAACAAAAAUGCAUUUGGAUGUUUCUGGGCUCCAGAGCCAGCAAGGAAGGAAGGAUUUGGCUUGUGGUAUCCGUGCCCAGGUGGGACACUGCCUGCCCCUGAGGCCCAGCCGCCCCCUCCGGCACCCACAGCACCGUAGGGCGGUGGGGAUCCUGGGCCCGAGGUCUUGGUCUUCCCAUCAAAGCUAGAGUCUGCACAAGGCUCCGCACCCAGACAGCCCUGGGAAACUUCCUACUAAGAGAGGCAUCUAGAAGCGUGUGGCCAGCAGCCAGCUUCCCCAAAGCCCCUUUCACUUUCUCCUUAGACAUGAAGCCAACUAGCUGGAGACUCCACUUCAGGACAGAGACUAAGUUAUUGCCUCUGAAAUGUGAGUAGAAGUGAUACGUGCAGCGUCUACUUCCUGUUUUCACUGGAAAUCGCUCUUCCCAGCCUUCCUGUGGCCUGGGACCUGGAUGUGCUGGUGACGCCAUUAAACCAGGCAGUGGAGCAGACGAGCAGCCCUGGAGGCAGGUCUGGCCUCUUCUUCUCGGAGAAACGGGCCAGCCCGCAGCCGGGCCAGCUCCAGGGCGUUCCGAGAAAGGGAAGGCAGUCCAGCCUUGAGAGCCACUGUAUUUUGGGAUCUGUUGGAUCAAAGAGCAAAGUUUUUUACCUUGAAAAAUAUAGACCAUGUCUGGGCGUGGAAGUAGAGCACUGGCUGCAAGUCAGUAGCUCGCAUCCCUUCAUCCUCCCCUGCUGUCCGUCCUCCCGCACAUGCCUAUUGAGCACCCACUCGGUCUGAGCAACAUGAAGCUGCCGGUGAGGUAAGCAGCAGAGCCAUGGCCCCCUCCUCCUGAAGCCGGCAUCCUCGUAGGGCAGACAGACCGAAACAUGCAGCCAGACUAAUUAAAACACCCACAGACCUGUUUCUGGAGAAAGAACUGGGAAAAGGUAACAGUGUCUUUCCACAGGCUACAGUAGUCCUGGCAGGGGAGGCUGGGAAAACGUACAAAAAAAUCACAGCAGAACUUCUCUAAUCACAUAGCAUUUGAAUUCAAUGAAAGAUAAUAAGUCUCAGGAGUUUUCAGAGUUAGGAAGCGGGUUUCCGAGGCACCAUGCUGUCCGCUUCCGAGCAUGCUGGAA